AUUGAACGCUGGCGGCAGGCCUAACACAUGCAAGUCGAGCGAGCGGCGGACGGGUGAGUAAUGUCUGGGAAACUGCCUGAUGGAGGGGGAUAACUACUGGAAACGGUAGCUAAUACCGCAUACCAUCAGAUGUGCCCAGACAGGAUUAGCUAGUAGGUGGGGUAACGGCUCACAUAGGGGAAGCUCCCUAGCUUGUCUGAGAGUAUGUACAGCUACACUGGAACUGAGACACGGGCCAGACUCCUACGGGAGGCAGCAGUGGGGAAUAUUGCACAAUGGGCGCAUGCCUGAUGCAGCCAUGCCGCGUGUGUGAAGAAGGCCUUCGGGUUGUAAAGCACUUUCAGCGGGGAGGCGUUACCCGCAGAAGAAGCACCGGCUAACUCCGUGCCAGCAGCCGCGGUAAUUC
rnacentral:rRNA from 1 species